CGUUGUUCGUUGCUGUUGCGCUGCGCUCCGCUCAAAAUCGUCCUCUUUAGUUGCAGUUUAUUAUAUCCAUCUUUAACUAUACUCGUUUAGAAUUAAAUUGAAAAAUAAACCUUUUUAACGCGUAUUUACACUUACUGAUCAAAGUGCCAUCGUACGUUGGAUGCAUAGAUUGACUUCGUGGCCAUCUAUACGCCUCAUAACAUACUACGCACAUAAAUAAUCGAGGACAAGUUCUUAACUGGAAAAGGAACCUUUCCCGUGUAUCCCCACAACAGUUUAACCUAAAUCUAUUUUACAGGAAGUGCGGCAAUUAAACAGGAAGGAAAUGACUGUAUGUUCGUUAUUUGUAGAAAUUCUACAUUAGAAAUCGUAUAUACAGCUCAGGCAAACAUAUGCUUGAAGACGCUAUUUCAAAUGUAUCCUUUUUGGUAUCCUUUAAUAACGUAAUGUUUUGUGGGUGUUUGUGUCUUGUUUACUAUAUAGUUGUAGUGUAAUAUUGAGAACGUCUUCUACUGAGAACUAAAGGCAGGUUUCUAUUUCCAGAUAAGAAGUACCAUAUACUGAAUUUCCUGAAAGACUUGUUGGAUGAUCCACAAGACACAUACAGAAGUUUACUAAGAUGGGAGAACCGAGAUGUUGGCAUUUUCAAGAUUAUGGAACCUAAUGAUGUUGCUCUGCUUUGGGGCAGAAGGAAAAACAGUGAUAAUAUGACGUAUGACAAAAUGUCUCGUGCUCUCAGAUAUUAUUAUAAAGGUAAUAUUUUGAGCAAGUGCGGAAGACUAUGUUAUCGAUUUCACUGGAACUCUACAUCAGUUAAAAAAGAAAUGAAUGCUGAUGCUUGUAAAACAGAAGGAUUGUGCAAAUCUGAACCUGAUCUAAAUCCAGAAGAUUUUAUUAUAACACCAAACAUUUAUCAUGAAUGAAACAGGAUUAUUCUAUUUGAUAAAACAUUUUAUAAAUAUGAAGUAUAUAAAGUUUAGGUUAUUUGUGAGAACAUUUUUAGUGGUGUAUCUAUUCCACAGCAAGGAAUAAGUGACAGAAACUGUUUCUCAAUCACAUAUACUUGAAUAUGUACAUCACUAUAUGUCUCUUACUAUUAUAUUAUUUCU